rnacentral:rRNA from 1 species
CGAAAGCCUGACGGAGCAAUACCGCGUGAGGGACGAAGGUCUGUGGAUUGUAAACCUCUUUUGUUAGGGAAGAUAAUGACGGUACCUAACGAAUAAGCAUCGGCUAACUCCGUGCCAGCAGCCGCGGUAAGACGGAGGAUUCAAGCGUUAUCCGGAAUUAUUGGGCGUAAAGCGUACGUAGGCUGCUAAUUAAGUCUGUUGUCAAAGCGCGAGGCUCAACCUUGUAAAGGCAAUGGAAACUGAAUAGCUAGAGAGAGAUAGGGGCAGGAGGAAUUCCAGGUGUAGCGGUGAAAUGCGUAGAUAUCUGGAAGAACACCAGUGGCGAAAGCGUCCUGCUGGAUCUCAACUGACGCUGAAGUACGAAAGCUAG